AAAUUGAAGAGUUUGAUCAUGGCUCAGAUUGAACGCUGGCGGCAGGCCUAACACAUGCAAGUCGAACGGUAACAGGAAGCUCACCUAGGCGACGAUCCCUAGCUUUUUUUUUUUGAGUAAUGUCUGGGAAACUGCCUGAUGGAGGGGGAUAACUACUGGAAACGGUAGCUAAUACCGCAUAACGUCGCAAGACCAAAGAGGGGGACCUUCGGGCCUCUUGCCAUCGGAUGUGCCCAGAUGGGAUUAGCUAGUAGG
rnacentral:rRNA from 1 species